UACGGAGGGAGCUAGCGUUAUUCGGAAUUACUGGGCGUAAAGCGCACGUAGGCGGCUUUGUAAGUAAGAGGUGAAAGCCUGGAGCUCAACUCCAGAAUUGCCUUUUAGACUGCAUCGCUCGAAUCAUGGAGAGGUCAGUGGAAUUCCGAGUGUAGAGGUGAAAUUCGUAGAUAUUCGGAAGAACACCAGUGGCGAAGGCGGCUGACUGGACAUGUAUUGACGCUGAGGUGCGAAAGCGUGGGGA
rnacentral:rRNA from 1 species